AACGCGAAGAACCUUACCCGGGCUUGAAAGUUAGUGAACUAUCCAGAGAUGGAUGGGUCCUUCGGGACACGAAACUAGGUGCUGCAUGGCUGUCGUCAGCUCGUGCCGUGAGGUGUUGGGUUAAGUCCCGCAACGAGCGCAACCCUUGUCAUUAGUUGCUACGAAAGGGCACUCUAAUGAGACUGCCGGUGACAAACCGGAGGAAGGUGGGGAUGACGUCAAGUCCUCAUGGCCCUUAUGGGUAGGGCUUCACACGUCAUACAAUGGUACAUACAGAGCGCCGCCAACCCGCGAGGGGGAGCUAAUCGCAGAAAGUGUAUCGUAGUCCGGAUUGUAGUCUGCAACUCGACUGCAUGAAGUUGGAAUCGCUAGUAAUCGCGGAUCAGCAUGUCGCGGUGAAUACGUUCCCGGGCCUUGUACACACCG
rnacentral:rRNA from 1 species